rnacentral:lncRNA from 1 species
GAAGGUAUCCUGUUGUCUUCACGCUGCGUCCUCUUCAGAGCUCCCGUACCUCCACUGCUGUAGCAGACGGGAUACAAGUCCCCAUCCUGCUUUCCAGUCAGCACCAAUUGGUUCUGUACGUAUACUUUCGCCUGUCCGCCGCCGAAGACCACACUGCCUCCACGAUCAUCAAUGAUGUGUACCGAUAUGAUUUUGGCGGUGGCCUCCUCGUCGACGUAGACCUUCUUGAAAGUGAUGGCCUGUUUAUCGUUGACGUUAGACCGAAUCGUAAGCGUGCCAACUUCAGUCGGCCGAAGAGACUGUCCCUUGAUGCCCAUGAUGUUGAAGCGCUCCCAUGGCUCCAAUAACCGCACGUUGGAAAGUUCUGAGCGGUCAUACGUUAUGUGGUGAGUGGCGGCUGAGUCCAGAAACCAUUCCGUCGGACGAUUGCUGUUGUAUGCCAUGAAUGCUACCUGCCGCGGAACUCCUGGCCUCCUAGCUGAUCCACCGGAUCCUGGCUUGCUGCCGCUAGCUCCGCUGCCACUACCUCCGUUACCACUGUUGCUGUAGCCACCCUUGUAGCCAGAAUUUGACGACUGCUUCAGCGCCUUAAGCUGCCUGCAGUCCUUAACCACGUGCCCAGGUUUAUUACAGUAGUAGCAGAUGACUUGCUUCCGACUAUGUCCCGAGCUGUUGUUAGCCGGCCCCCGGCUACCAUAACCAGAAGUAGAAGCGCCGAAUGUCGAACCGCCGACAGACGCGAAGGCUGCCGACUCGGUAGGCUUGCCCGACCCACCGUUAGCCGUCUCGAUAGAGAGAAGCUUUGCUGUGACGCUCGCCAUGUCCAAAUCGCCGUCGCGCAUAAGUAAUGUAGUCGUCACCAUGCUGUACCGACUGGGUAGACCAACUAGCACGGUGUACGCCAGCUCGGAGUCGUUAACUACGUGGCCGACUCCCAAUAAAUCUGUUUGCAGCUGCCUUGCACGCGCAAAGUACAUCGGAAGAGGUUCGCCGUCGACCAUCUUAAAACGGCUGAAUUCUUGACUUAGAGACACCUUGCGGGCGUUGUUGUUGGCAGCAAACAUAGAUCCCAAGGCGUCCCAGGCCUUCUUCGCGUUGGCAGCACCGGUAACCAUCGGCAAAUGAUGAUCCUUGACGUUCUUGAUGAGCAGAUUGAUGACCUUCCGUGACUGUCGAAUUUGCUCCUCGUUGCACGGCUCAGCGAGCAGGGAUUGCUCAAGCCCAAGCUCCAUGCACAACGCGCUGAACCGAAUUUGCCAGGUAGAGUAGUUGUUGAGAUCCAGCGACUCAUCAAGCUUGUCCUUAACCAUUGUUGAUGAGGGAUAGAAAUAACAAUUGGGCAAUAACUGUCGGCGCUAAUCGGGGCUCAUAACCUAUUGAAGAAUUGGCGACGGUGACAGCUAACGCUGAUUGUUAUUCCUGUAGGAUUGCCGGUGGCGAAGCUACACCCCUGAGCAGAACGGAGCUGCAGAACGUUUAAAUCGCACUCUUUUGGACAAGACUAGGGCUAUGCUAGUUGAGUCUGGACUGCCUAAAUCAUUAUGGGCGGAGGCGUUAGCGACAGCCAAUUAUCUUAGAAAUGUGUCGCCAACUGCUGGGUCAACCGUCACUCCGUACGAAGCUUUCUUUAAUGUUCGUCCGAAUGUCAGUCACCUGCGAGUCUUUGGAUGCGUUGCCUACGUCCACGUACCCGACGUCAAGCGCGACAAGUUCGACCCGGUGAGCAGGCGUGGAAUACUUGUCAGAUAAGGGAACGGUGGACAGUAUCGUGUACUAUACGAGGACGGCAUUAUUGCCGUAGUUUCUAACGUUCGUUUUGACGAGUCUAAUGUCGGCCGGCGGUGUAAUGCCGGGGACUCCGACUAUGAGUCCGAUGCCGACGAGGAGGAGGAGUUUCGCACUAGUUUAUCUGGUGAGGGAUCGCUGCCUAGGGCUGGCGAAGGGACACCAGGUAGCACCAUCGGCGAGGGAUCGCCGCAUUUGGGUGGCGAGGGGGCGCCGGCUGGGGCUGGACCUUCCAGCAGUGCGAACGGGCAAGGAAUCAAUCAGCCUGAUGUGGAAAUGGCGGGAACUAGGUACCCAGUUAGAGAGCGUAAACGCCCUGGCGAAUGGUGGCGAAACGAACCUGGUCGCACUGUCACUGGUCGCGUUAACGCUGCUUUCUCUGCUGGUAUUCCUGAGCCUAAUUCGUUUGAGGAAGCAAUUGCAAGUCCACAUGCAGACGACUGGCGGCGUGCGAUGGACGAGGAGAUCGCCGCCCAGAUGGCUAAUAGUACUUGGGAGCUGAAGAAGCCACCUCCUGGUACUCGUUUGUUGCCGUGUCGUUGGGUAUAUAAGGUUAAGUACAGCGAUGAUGGCAGCGUGGAGCGUUUAGUUGCCAAGGGUUUCGAGCAACGUGAGGGGAUUGAUUAUGGGGAGUUGUUUGCCCCUACCUCUCGAGGUUCGUCAUUGCGUGCUUAUANNNNNNNNNNNNNNNNNNNNNNNNNNNNNNNNNNNNNNNNNNNNNNNNNNGUAGACCUUCUUGAAAGUGAUGGCCUGUUUAUCGUUGACGUUAGACCGAAUCGUAAGCGUGCCAACUUCAGUCGGCCGAAGAGACUGUCCCUUGAUGCCCAUGAUGUUGAAGCGCUCCC